rnacentral:rRNA from 1 species
AACGAACGCUGGCGGCAGGCUUAACACAUGCAAGUCGAGCGCCCCGCAAGGGGCGCGGCAGACGGGUGAGUAACACGUGGGAAUCUACCCAUCUCUACGGAAUAACGCAUGGAAAAGUGUGCUAAUACCGUAUACGUACUUCGGGAGAAAGAUUUAGCGGAGAUGGAUGAGCCCGCGUUGGAUUAGCAAGUUGGGGGGGUAAAGGCCUACCAAGGCGACGAUCCAUAGCUGGUCUGAGGGGAAGAUCAGCCACACUGGGACUGAGACACGGCCCAGACUCCUACGGGAGGCAGCAGUGGGGAAUAUUGGACAAUGGGCGCAAGUCUGAUCCAGCCAUGCCGCGUGAGUGAUGAAGGCCCUAGGGUUGUAAAGCUCUUUCACCGGUGAAGAUAAUGACGGUAACCGGAGAAGAAGCCCCGGCUAACUUCGUGCCAGCCGCCGCCGUAAAAC